ACUCCUACGGGAGGCAGCAGUGGGGAAUUUUGGACAAUGGGCGAAAGCCUGAUCCAGCAAUGCCGCGUGAGUGAAGAAGGCCUUCGGGUUGUAAAGCUCUUUUGUCAGGGAAGAAACGGUGAAAGCUAAUAUCUUUUGCUAAUGACGGUACCUGAAGAAUAAGCACCGGCUAACUACGUGCCAGCAGCCGCGGUAAUACGUAGGGUGCAAGCGUUAAUCGGAAUUACUGGGCGUAAAGCGUGCGCAGGCGGUUUUGUAAGUCUGAUGUGAAAUCCCCGGGCUCAACCUGGGAAUUGCAUUGGAGACUGCAAGGCUAGAAUCUGGCAGAGGGGGGUAGAAUUCCACGUGUAGCAGUGAAAUGCGUAGAUAUGUGGAGGAACACCGAUGGCGAAGGCAGCCCCCUGGGUCAAGAUUGACGCUCAUGCACGAAAGCGUGGGGAGCAAACAGGAUUAGAUACCCCUGUAGUCCCAUG
rnacentral:rRNA from 1 species